ACAUUCCCACGAUUAUUCUCCUCAUGAAAUUGUCUGUGAGAGACUCCCCCCAUAGUAAGACAGCUGUCGGCAAAUUUGCCACAGUGUCACAAGGGGAUCUUUAUUGGUUUGUCAUUGUGAGAAGUUUCUGGAUUCAUAGAGGCACAAACUGUUACAGCUUGGAGGGAGAGCCUUAUUCAUCCAUCAUAUUACCAGGCAUAUCACCAGACAUCUGCCAUAUCACCAGACAUUAUUUGGUCUUUACAAAAUUCUCUUAGUGGAAAAAAAAAUUCAAUUCCUUGGAAGACGGU